rnacentral:misc_RNA from 1 species
CACACCGAGCGAUGCUCAGCCUGCCCCCUAGGUACAACUGUUGACCACAGUGACUCCAGCAGCUGUUGUGGGACCUGCCAACAGACUGGGUGUGUGGUGGACGGUCAUACCUAUAGAGAUGGUGAGGCUUUGCCAAACCCAAUGAAGUGUUACAAGAAGAUUUGUUCCGCUAGCACAUCUGAGUUUAUAAUCCGAGAAACUCAAAUAACCUGUCCUAAGGACAAUCUCCCAUCAUGCACUGGGAAAUCUUUAGAAUACGACAGUUCUGGAUGCUGCCCUACGUGUGUCAUCACUCCCACAAGUUCCAGCUUGGUUAACACCUGUACCACAUGUCAGCCCGUCCCUCAGUUUGACAGCCCGUCGCUGACCAUCGGGUACUUCUCCGUGGUGGAGGGUAACAGCACCACCUGUCAGAACAAGGAACCGCUGCCCGACCUGAAGCAGUGCUCCGGUCACUGCGAAUCUAGAGCCACCUACACCGCUGUCAUGCAGGGCUUUGACAGUAACUGUCAGUGUUGUCAGCCAUCGCGGACUGUCACGCGAACGGCGGUGCUCACGUGUUCCGACGGAUCCACCAGAAGUAGGUCGUACUCUGUGCCCGAGGCGUGCGGAUGUAGUGCGUGUUCUGGAACUACAUGACCUUGAACUUUUAUAAUGGCAUCUUUUUCAUAGACAUUUUACAUCACUGUUAAACAUUUAUAUUUUUUAACCAGUUAUACUUUGCUUUUUGAAUAUUUUCCUCUUUUAUGCAUUGUUGUUUUUAUGUAUAGUUGUGCGUUUAUCAAAUAAAUGCAAUCAUAU